rnacentral:misc_RNA from 1 species
AAAAAAUAACUUGUCUAUAGAAAAUAUUUCCAAGGAAAACAUUUUCCAAGAGAAUAACUUAUUUUAUGUGGUUUGGUUGCAAUGACGAAAAACAAAGAAAAAUUAUUUUCUAGAUUUUGGAGUACACCAACAAAAUGUUAAUUUUCGUUCAAUUUCUGUCAUCAAUGACUGGAGGUGGCUGCCAGUGAUCAAUGAUGACUAGUCGUGGUCGGUGAUCAAUGCUUAAUUUUCCCUUUAAUUAGGAAAAUGUUUUCCGUUGACCAAUUCUUCUAAGCACCCCAAAUGCCAGAAAAAGUAGAAAAUGUUUUUCAGAAAUUCCAUCAAAUAGACAAAGCCAAAGCUUGACAAAAUUCAAACUAUAAUACCAUGUCUUAGUAAUAAGUGCAACCACCAAUUCCUAUUCUUAUAGUUGAUAAGUUCAGGAUGUUAUCUAUAAAAAUUUGAAACAUGAGGCAACAUGUGCCACUUGCCCAAGAAUAAGCCUCAAUCACAACAUGAACAUAUUUAAAACAAUCAAAAGUUUGCACUAAAACAGAAAUGAGGUAACUGAUCUUUACACAGAUGCUCCACGUUAUCAGCCCAACCUAAAUAUUCAUUUCUCAAGCAUUGCUCAUAGAAUGGAGCUGCCUACUGAUGCAUGGGUUGGACAGCAUAGGAGGAUCGAAUGAAGCAAAAGGGUGAAAGAAACAGCAGAAAUUUAUGUUUCCUUCUGUGGCAGCUUGUGGAGAUGUGUUUUCCAGUCCAAAUUCGCUUCCAAUUGUGUUUUCAGAAGUCCUAACAUUAUCCCACUUGUUUUGGGAAAGUUUCCACUUGUUUGGGAGAGUUUUAGCCUGCCAAAUUAGCUUAUUAUAUAUUCCUAUUUCAAUUAGGAUUUUCUUUUUGGUUUCCUAUUUCAUCUAGCAUUUAUUUAAUUUUCCUAUCCUAAGUAGGAUUUAGAUUUCUUCCUAUUUUAUUUAUGAUUUCCUAUUAUAUUUUAGUUUAUCUAAACUUCCUAA